rnacentral:rRNA from 1 species
GACGAACGCUGGCGGCGUGCUUAACACAUGCAAGUCGAACGGAAAGGCCCUGCUUUUGUGGGGUGCUCGAGUGGCGAACGGGUGAGUAACACGUGAGUAACCUGCCCUUGACUUUGGGAUAACUUCAGGAAACUGGGGCUAAUACCGGAUAGGAGCUCCUGCUGCAUGGUGGGGGUUGGAAAGUUUCGGCGGUUGGGGAUGGACUCGCGGCUUAUCAGCUUGUUGGUGGGGUAGUGGCUUACCAAGGCUUUGACGGGUAGCCGGCCUGAGAGGGUGACCGGCCACAUUGGGACUGAGAUACGGCCCAGACUGCUACGGGAGGCAGCAGUGGGGAAUAUUGCACAAUGGGCGGAAGCCUGAUGCAGCAACGCCGCGUGCGGGAUGACGGCCUUCGGGGUGUAAACCGCUGUCGCCUGUGACGAAGCGUGAGUGACGGUAAUGGGUAAAGAAGCACCGGCUAACUACGUG